GCCAGACUCCUACGGGAGGCAGCAGUGGGGGAUAUUGCACAAUGGGGGGAACCCUGAUGCAGCGACGCCGCGUGGGUGAAGGAGCGUUUCGGCGCGUAAAGCCCUAUCGGCAGGGAAGAAGGAGGACGGUACCUGACUAAGAAGCCCCGGCUAACUACGUGCCAGCAGCCGCGGUAAUACGUAGGGGGCAAGCGUUAUCCGGAUUUACUGGGUGUAAAGGGGGCGCAGACGGCAGCGCAAGCCAGGAGUGAAAGCCCGGGGCCCAACCCCGGGACUGCUCUUGGAACUGCGCGGCUGGAGUGCAGGAGGGGCAGGCGGAAUUCCUGGAGUAGCGGUGAAAUGCGUAGAUAUCAGGAGGAACACCGGUGGCGAAGGCGGCCUGCUGGACUGCGACUGACGUUGAGGCCCGAAAGCGUGGGGAGCAAACAGGAUUAGAUACCCCCGUACU
rnacentral:rRNA from 1 species